GCAUGCUUGCCAUUAUGCUCAUUCGCACAUGCUUGUGAGGGUCGUUCCUUACAGGCCGGCACUCCGAAGUUAGCCAUCGCGAUACAUAUUCGCCGUGCGGGAUUGGGCGCCGAAGUAGAUUGCCGUGGAAAAGGCUCAUUCCUAAGAGUGGGGAUGUUGACUACCACGGGGCCAUUAGGCACGGCACCGGCCAGACAGCCUACGGGUGGGUUUUACAGGCCAGACAGCCUUCGGGUGGGUCUUUAUGCCAAACAGCCUUCGGGUGGGUCUUAUAAGAUUAAACUUUCAACAGUUAAAGUGACAAGUGGACAUUGACUAGAAUAGUAAAUAAUG
rnacentral:lncRNA from 1 species